rnacentral:lncRNA from 1 species
GAGGGUGGGGGUGGGCGAGCGUGGGCCGGACACAUCCCUGGGCCGCUGGUCCCACACGACAGAGACGGAGAGCGGGCGGGAAGAGACCGGGCAGCGGGCGCGCGCGGUGAGGAAGCCCGCAAGGUCGAAGAGGAGGCAGGCGGCGGAGAAGGCCGGGGUGGAGAGGAGCGUGGCACGGUGGGAGGUGGUCACCGAGGAGAAGACCUUCGGCAAGCUCGGCAUGGUUUCGGCGAACUCGCCACCGCGUGGAUCGGCAAGGCGCGCCGAAUCAGAGCCGUGGGAGACGAGGAGGGGGAGACGGGGAGUGGUGGUGGUGGGCGCUGGGUGUUGACGGCGCAGGGCGAGCGGGGCCGGGAGGGGGGGGUGUGGGCGAGCACGGGCCAGCGGCCGACGACGGUGUGGGGCCGGCGGGAGGUAGGCGAUGACCAGAGAUAGAUAAGAAGGA